rnacentral:rRNA from 1 species
GAUGAACGCUGGCGGCGUGCCUAAUACAUGCAAGUCGAGCGAACGGACGAGAAGCUUGCUUCUCUGAUGUUAGCGGCGGACGGGUGAGUAACACGUGGAUAACCUACCUAUAAGACUGGGAUAACUUCGGGAAACCGGAGCUAAUACCGGAUAAUAUUUUGAACCGCAUGGUUCAAAAGUGAAAGACGGUCUUGCUGUCACUUAUAGAUGGAUCCGCGCUGCAUUAGCUAGUUGGUAAGGUAACGGCUUACCAAGGCAACGAUGCAUAGCCGACCUGAGAGGGUGAUCGGCCACACUGGAACUGAGACACGGUCCAGACUCCGACGGGAGGCAGCAGUAGGGAAUCUUCCGCAAUGGGCGAAAGCCUGACGGAGCAACGCCGCGGGAGUGAUGAAGGUCUUCGGAUCGUAAAACUCUGUUAUUAGGGAAGAACAUAUGUGUAAGUAACUGUGCACAUCUUGACGGUACCUAAUCAGAAAGCCACGGCGAACUACGU